CCUACGGGAGGCAGCAGUGAGGAAUAUUGGUCAAUGGGCGAGAGCCUGAACCAGCCAAGUCGCGUGAAGGAUGACGGCCCUACGGGUUGUAAACUUCUUUUGUCAGGGAGCAAGGGAGUCCACGUGUGGGCUUAGCGAGAGGACCUGAAGAAAAAGCAGCGGCUAACUCCGUGCCAGCAGCCGCGGUAAUACGGAGGAUGCGAGCGUUAUCCGGAUUGAUGGGGUUGAAGGGGUGCGUAGGCGGAAUAUCAAGUCAGCGGUAAAACUUCGGGGCUCAACCCCGUCGUGCCGUUGAAACUGCUGUUCUUGAGUGGGCGAGAAGUAUGCGGAAUGCGUGGUGUAGCGG
rnacentral:rRNA from 1 species